CGCGUAGGCGGGGAGGUAAGUCGGGUGUGAAAUCCCUCGGCCCAACCGAGGAACUGCGCCCGAGACUGCUUCUCUUGAGUCCCGGAGAGGAAGAUGGAAUUCCCGGUGUAGCGGUGAAAUGUGUAGAGAUCGGGAGGAACACCGGUGGCGAAGGCGGUCUUCUGGACGGUGACUGACGCUGAGGCGCGAAAGCGUGGGGAGCAAAC
rnacentral:rRNA from 1 species